AGAUUCACCGACAACACAUUUAUGUUAUAAAAAGCAGACGUUCUGAAUAAAGGGACUCUGAAGAUGCCACCAGCUGCUGUCUUCAUCAGGAAUAUUAAGUGCCUUUCAUUUCUCCAGAAUACAUUAGAAGCGAGAAGAAAGCCGGAAAGGGCUGCUUGCCUCUUUCGUGGGCUUUGUAUAGAGCACUAGAGAAAAGUGGAGAGAAAGAAAGAGAGAGCGAGAGAGCAUCUGAGUAAGCAUCACUCCAAGACUGAAUCACAGGAUGGAAAUGCCAUCAGUGGGCAAAGAGCAGCGCGGCAGGGGGCCUGAACGUUUCCUUCCAAAGCCUUCGAAUGACCUGGAUAUGCUGUGAAGUGGAGUGAGAGACACAGCUUUUGACAGAUGGUGAAGAAAAAAUAAUGCUGAAGAACUUCUCUCAGGGUUAUCUUGAGGCCUUUAUUUUAAACUGACUACAGCCACCGUGUAUUAUCUAAAGAAGACCUUGUCCAUAUGAUGUGUGCUCUGCACCUCCAGCCCUGAGGGAUGAUGGAGAGUCGAAAGGUGAAAGGGAUGCCUGGGAAAGCACCAGCUGUGUGGAACGCUUCAUUACCCAGCUAUCUGCAGGCCUGUGACCCUAACGCCAGCCGCCCUCAGCAACUCUCAACACAGCAAACCUACCCUGACCCCGGCAAACCCUGUGCAAACUCCCGCCCUACCCCAGUUGAUCCUGCCAGCCUCUAAUUUUAUAGACAUAUAGAUUCUUGCACGGGUGGGUGACUCCUUUUCUAUUGUAAUUCAGUCUUAACAACGUGACCGCAGACGUACGUAAUUAAGAUGAAAACAAAGUGACAGUUUUCCUCUUUUGGAGAUGUCAGGAGUGAGUUGGUGAAAGACUUUUGGAAAAUAAGUUUUUCUACAACCCAAAAGUUAAGAUUAUGUCAUUAUUUACUCACCCUCUUGUCAUUUCAAACCUGUUUGACUCUCUUUCUUCUACAAAACACAAAAAAAUAUUUUGAAGAAUCUGUCACUUAUGUUUGUACAUACUGUUGUAUUGUAAUGUAGUGAACAAAAUAUUAAACCAAGUUUGCAGAUGCCACUAUUUUUGCGCUGGAAUAACAAGGAUUUGUCAGCAUUCAUUUUGUUUUGAGAUGUUGAGCUUCAAUGGUUUUGCAUUCCAUUUGACUUUGUAGAUAAAACUUUUUUGUUUUCUUAAAAC